CAGGAGCCUUCAGCUGACGGGCGGUUUCUGGUUUCUCUCCUUGCAGCCGGGCUCUGCGGAUGCUGAGGCUGCUCUGGGCUCUGCCAGGGCUCUGCUGGGCUCAGCCCCAGGCACAGCUGGGCUCACCCUGCCCUCCCAUUGCUCUGACAGCUUUGCAUCACACGAGCCCGUUCCCAGCACACCGCCUGAGCUUUCUGCUUUUGCAGAAGUGCCACUGCUGUGUUCCUGAGGCAGUGCAGUCUGGAGCUGAUGGAUGAAGAAUCGCCCCUCUGCACUUCCAAACCAGAGCAAAAAGCUAAAUCAUGCUAUGAAAAAGAAGUGUCCUUUGCUCCUGGUUCCUGUGUGGAGCAGCUCCCUUCCCGCUGGCUGAGCUGCUCAGGCAGAGCCCGGCAGCUCCUGGCCCUGCAGGGCUGAGGCU